rnacentral:SRP_RNA from 1 species
AGAUGGACUAGGUCGGGCGGUUAGGCCCCGCUCCUCGCCACGUGUGGCCUCAAGUGGGACCGAACGCCGGGGGCGUGCGGUCAGACGGCCGCGGGCCCCGCAAGCCAACGUCGAAGCCUCGUCCUGCGGGGACGGAGGUCCGGAUGGCUGUGUCUGCAGGGACACAGGCGUCCGGUUAACCGGUGCCAGUCCGUCAGGCGCGGAAGCGAGCAGCGGAGCACUGGACAUCUGUCGCUCGUAGGGUCGCGGGGUGGAGGAGGCACGCGGGACUACCCGCGGUCAGACGCCGCGCAAUCCUGGCCGUCCACUU